UCACGGAACCGUUGGUAUACUCGUCGAAC
rnacentral:sRNA from 1 species